UUUUACCUUUCACAAUACAAGAAACUUGAAUGUUCUGAUAUCAAAGUAGCAAGAUGUGAGGCUUUCCUAUUUAACAAGUUCACCCUAGAAUGUAGGUCCAGUUCUGGAAGAUCGCUGACUCAUAAUUCUGUCUGUCUCUGUCACUUUGUCACACAGUUUAACCCCAUGGCUCCCUUGUAGCUGGAUGUACCUGGAUAUCGCAAGCAUGCUACUCUGAAUGACCUGUGUGGUGUACGUCGUGGACGCCAGCAAAGUUUCUCAGAGGUCUGCUAAGAUGAUGGACAAGUUGGUUGCUAUCUGCAAGAAGACCAUUCAGAUGUCUGAGUGAAUAAAGCCCUCAGUGCCUUUUUUCUUUUAUUAUAGUUUCAUAAUGCUUUAUGACCACAAGGUGCUCCUUUUACAAGAUAAUCUACCACUUCAAAAGCAUUCCCCAGCUGGUACUGUUGACCAAAGUGGACAAGGCCUGCAGAAUGUUUACCUCAGCCACUACAUAAAGAGGAAGACCCACGAGUUAAGUGCGUCUGAACCAGAUGUUGAACUACGCUGACAGCUUCUUCAAAAACCAGCUAGAGAAGCAGGAAGAGCUGCACCCAUCUAAACCCCGGCCCCGCCCCAAACCUGAGCCAACAGUUUUACACACCUGGUACCGGUCCUGUACGUGGCCCUUCAGGAUACUGUUGACGUCGUCUAUAUCCAGCCCUGUGCUGGGUCCUUCCUCCAGACCCAUGGUGUCACACAGGACCAGAGGGAGAGCCUUCCCAC